CAGGUGGCAGCAGUUCCUGGGGAUAGCUAGGCAGGCUGUGGGUCGGGCUCUGCAGAAGGCUGGGGACUCCCGUCUUCCUGGGUGCGGCAGGUGGUGCAGAUGAGCGGGGCUGGGGCCUGCCAGCUCCAGCUGUCCCAGUGUCAAGGUCGCGGCCUGGUCUCCCCACUUCGGGGUUGUGCGCCUAGGCUCCGCAGACCGCCCUGCCAGGAGGAAGCGUCCCACCUGGGGCGGAGGGGAGACAGCAGAGCCGAGGGGCAGGGACAUCUUUUUGAGUCUGUUGGACCGGGAUCUCCCAGAGAAGGCCCAGAGGAGAAGCAUCCCUGAAAGCUGGCAAGCUCUGGGGCCCCCUUGACCCAUGUGGAUGGGGGUUGACUUGGCCAGUAUCAGCAACAGAAGACAUGGCGCCGGAGGUGGUGAGCUGCCUGUGUCUGGUGCUUUUGGAGCCUCAGGACUUUUAUAUCCUUUCCAGCUCAUUCCAGAAUCCAUAUAUUUCAUAAGCAGCUUCCCUGAGCUCUGCCCCAGGAGUAGGAGGCAUGGCAGAAGGGGUCUAGAGAGGAGUAAGGCCCCACCCCUGUCCAACGGGGCCCGUUCAGCAGAGCAGAAAGAACAUGUCUUUGGUGGCUGCCCAUGUUGGGGGUAUGAUCAGAGGGAGAGGUAAGAAGAGCUUGGAGGGCCUAAAUGCCAGAAAAAAGGAACUUUGGACUUUCUCCCACAGAAUCCAGGGGCAGAGGCCCCCAAUUACGUGUCACCACCCACAGACUUCUUCCCACACAGACUUAGACCCCCCCCCCCCGCCCACGGAUUCAUGGCACGCUGUGUGAUCUGGGAGGGUUGCUUAACCUCUCUGAGCUGUAUUUUCUCCCCUUCCCUUCUGUAGCAAGCCCAGUGCUCACUACUGAGGACAGCAAAGGAGGUACGAUCUAGGUUUGGCUAAUCCGAGUGCCCCAUCCUGGUGCUGUGGUUGGUUCGGAGGCGGGCACACGAUCCCUGUGGCCAGAGUCUUUUCUGCUGGACGGGCUUUGGAAUCUUCACCACCACAGCCUUUCUUUGGUUUUUGAGCCGUAAAACCUGUAUUGGCUUUAGCUGGUUUGCAUUUUCACUGUCCUGCAAUUGGGAGAGUCACGAGCAGAUCAGAAAUAAUGAAGUGUUCCCCGAGGGGCGGGUUGAGUGACAUGGUGUGUGGAGUGCCAUUCCUUAUGGGCAGGGGAGAGAGCUAAGGCUGAGAGCCAAAGAGAUCUCAGGGACCCCCUCUCUGCAGUUCCUCUCUGAGUGACCCUGGAAAGGUCACCAUCCCUUUCCAAGGCUUUGUUUCCUUGGGCAUAAAAUGGGUCUCUGCCCCACCCCUUCACCCCUCCUCUCUCUCAGGCUCCCUUUACUCCUUCUUGUCCUCCAGGCUUCAGACUUUCUCUCCUACCCACUCCCCACAGGAAGGCCUGGUAGCCUUAAGCCCAAAUGUGACUGUGAGCCUCCCUGGACCAAGCCCCGAGUCCUUGAACCACUUUCUGGGUCAUGCCCGGCCCUCAGCUUCUGUCUCGCUGCCCAACAUCCCCAGGUGCCGGGCGAACUGUGUUCUCUCGGGUCUCCUGACCCUGCACGCAGGCCUGGAGUAGAGGCGUGGGGGUGCCCUCUCUCCUGCCGUGUGUGUCGCUGGUGAACCUCACCUUCUGUGCGCUAAGGUCCUGAACCUACAGGUGGUUGCAUGAGCCCCCCACUGUCCCAGAUGCCUGCGGAAGCCAGUGUUGCACCCCAGGCUGCCUCCCAGAGAGGGCCAGACCUAGGGAGACGUGAUUUGUGGUCAUGGUCAAUGCUGGUCUAAGGAAGCCCCAUUCAGGUUCUUAACCCAGCCCCCCAGGAGCUCUCGCCGGCCAUCCCUGGAGGCUUUGCUCCCACCAGGGUGACAGGAUCAGUCUCUGGGGUGGGGCCGCCGUCCCCCACUGGGGCUGCUUGUAUCUCUUUCUGCCCUUCCCAGGAACCCAGACCCAGAGCCGGGGACGGUGGGACACCUGGCCCCAAGGGUGGCGGAGAGCCCCGAGAGGGACCAGGACAAUAAAGAGACACAGAGCUGUGACAUCAUUUUCAAAUCAUCGUGGCCAUCAAGAAAGACUCCACGUUGUGUCCUGACAGAGGGAGCAGGACAGCUGUGCCCUGAGAAGGCAAGAGCUCAUAGCAGGGCUUGGUGUCCACGGGAGGUGCUGGGAGCUGCGACCCCAAAGGUGAGAGGAUGACGGGCCCAAAGGGCAAGUUUGGCCGGAGGUCCGGAAGCAGGAAGGACGUCACGUUUUGAGGACAGGAAGCCAAGCCACCGAGCCAGGGAGCUCUGAGAAGGGGUGCGUUGUGGGGGCCAAGGCAGGCUCUGGGACUUGGGAACCACGAGUGACACAUCUACAUUGGAUGUCAAGCCAUCUGGCCUCCAGAUGUUUUCUGAUCAUUAAAAAAUUUGAGUCCCAGGCAAGUGGGCCCAUGGACAUGGCCGUGGUGGGCUGCUGGGCUCCCCCAGACGGGCUGACCUGCCUGGGGUCUCUCAGUCCUGCCCAGCCCCUGUCACCCAGGGACACUUGCCCUGUUGUUAAAGGGACAGGAAGUGACUAGGGAAUGGGGGAGAGCCAGGCCAGGUGGGUUUUCCCAGGCCCUGGACUCCCUAGGGUGUUGAUCAGGGGAACAGACCUGGAUGCAAAGCCUGCUGGUCCUCCACGGCCUGAGGCAGUGAGCAGCCUGGGUCUGAUCGGGGGAGGUGGAGUAUGGGGUGGCUACGAGCAUUGUUUCUGGAGUCAGACAGACCUAGGUUCAAAUUCUGACUCUCCCACAUACUGACCGGAUGGCACAACUGGGUCUCCCAGAGCUUCCGUCUCCCCAUCUGUAACUGGGAAUACUGACACUGCCUGUCUCCUCAUAGGGUUGUUGGAAAGACUAAAAUUAGAGAACAUGCGUGAAGUACUUGGCUCAGCACAUAGUAAAUGCUCAAUACAUACGUUUUAACUGCUAUUAUUAUAGCUCUUGGAAACAAUAGUCAAUAUUUUACUUCCAGACCUUUGCAAAUGCUGUUUUCUCCUCUCAGAAUGUCCUGGUCCAGUCAGUUUACGCAGUGCCCAGGUCAGGGUCUUAUCUUGGAAGUGUCUCCAGGCUCAGCCUGGCGCCCAGCUGACUAGAUUCAGCCCUUCGUGGGCCAACAUCUCCACAGCAGUCGCUCACCAGUGGCUGCUUCUCCUCUCCUAGACUGGCCACCAGCGGUGCUGGGUCUGACUUUUCUGUGUCUCCAGGACCCAGCCAGAGGCCCCAGAACCCCCACACCAUGCUUUCUGGCUCCUAACCUGAAUUCAGGUCUUGUUCCCCUUAGACGAGCAGGGCCUGGGCAGGGCCCAGCGCUGGGUGUGGGAUGAAGGCGCCAUGCAGCUAGGAGAGCAGGAUCCCUGCUGGCCUGGCCCGGGCCAGGUGUGAGGAAGCAGGUCGGGAGGCCCAAGGGGGGCUGAGGUCCCUGUGGUGGAGGCGAUGGAAGUUGAGCCCACGUGACCGAGGCGGCAGCCAUCUUUGCCUACGCCGUUCCUUGAACACUAAUACAG